AAAGAAAUAGAAGAACAGCCAUUGUGUUUCUCAGGGGAUUCUACUGUGUUUGGGCAGCAGUUCUGCUUAGUAGCAAGAGACAGUGACCCUGUCUUAGCCCCUCUGAGUUCAUGUUCUCCAGGACCUUGCAGCCUACCCCAAGUGUUGUUUUUCUGAAGGGCUGCGCCUCCCUGGGCUUGCAGAGGUGGCUUUGAACCAGGCUGAUCAAACUCGGAGCAGCUGUGUGAGGCAGAAACUCACCACUCAGGGGAGAAAGAAGCUGGAGCCAGGGAAAGCAGGCACCGGGCUGAAGAAAACCCAAGAAUACUACAGCAACAACGUCACCCUGCUGAGUGGCACUGAGGUAGAGCUGAGCCCUCACUCAGAACUGCAGUUCUCCGGGGUGGGACGCGGGCUAGCAGGGAACAGUUUGGGCAGGACCAGGUGUCGACUGCUCAGCUGUCUCCAGCCCUCCUGUUCUUAUGCCACCCUGUAAGCCAACCAUCUCCACACUUUUCUGUUCCUUCCUCCAGGGGCAGAGCGGUGGCAAAGUACCUGGGUUCUGGGAACAGACGGGAUGGUACUGAAUGCCGUUUUUGGUUCUGCUCUUUCUAGCACAUAACUUUAACUCUAAUCUCCCCAAGUUGCAGCCCCCACCCCUGCAAAGCAGGAAGCACAAGACUGCUUGGUGCUGGUGGCUGUGAGAGCAGGGCGUCCGAAAUGGAGACUAGCAAUGGAUGCCACAUAGCACAUUCUCUGCAACAGGUAAUGAACACUCCAGUGGUGGAAGUAUUUAAGGCUUGACUUUUUGUGGUGCUUCAAGUCCUGAAUGGGGAGAGUGAGGACUAGGCUGGUCAGCCUGAAUUAGUCCCAUCAGUAGCAGAGGGGAGGUUUUGAUUUUGUUAAACAGAGUCUGGGAUUUCAUGUGUCAGCGUGCUGCCUGGCAAUUAAAAUCGGGAGAGUUUAAUCUGAAGAGAGUUCCAGCUCCGUUGUUUGCCCUUUUAAUCUUGUCUGUUGCCAUGGGAACAGCAAGUGAUUGCAAUCACCACUGUUUGUAUUGUGAGCCUGCUCCCAUCAAUGUAGCUUUUGAAAAACAAGAAAUAAAAAUCUUGACUUCUGCA